UUUUUGUUGAACAUGAUUACUCAUAAGAGGGUCUCCUGGCUGGGGGCUUCGUAGCGGUGGUUGAGGCAGGAGCGUGAACAGACUGCGGCUGGGAUGGCCUGAGCCAGAGAGGACGCGCCGUGCCCUCCCCCCGCAGCACUCGCUGUACAGGUCCCGAACGGCCGGCAGCCCACUCCCGACGACCCGUCCCCGAUCACUCUCUGCAGAGCUCCGUGCCCGAGGACAGCACAGCCGCCGCACCAGGCUGCGAAGCCCCCAGCCGGGACACCCUCUUAUGACCCACAGACAUGGAGGACAGCAUGACUAGGGGAAUGAAUGUCGGCAUUGUCGUAGUCAAACAAGGAGAGGAUCUUCUUGACAUAUCGGUGGUCCUAGAGGAACAGAUCAUUCUGCAUGGAAUCAAGGACUACUCACAUGCAGUCGUUAUGUUAAUGGGGCUGCUAUAUGCACUGAACAUUGACUACCCGAAGGAGCUGCAAUACACCUUCGAAGUCAUUCAGAAGGUUCUCAUGAACAUCGGCAGUGAGAACUGCUCCAGGGUUCAUGGACUGAGGAAUAGACUUUUUCGUAAAACUGUGUAGACACUACACUGAGACUGAGAGUUUUCUUUUGAGUUCUGUUACUACUAUUCUGUUACUACUAUCUGUUACUAGUUCAUUACUUUUGUAAUGGUCAAUGACAUUCUCAGUUGCAAGAGUUGACAGAAGUAGACUGGGUUUGAGGUCUUUCCUGGAAAGUCUUUUUGACCUGUUUGGUUCUGCAUCAUUUUAUUUUAUAUAAAUUAUACUCAUUACGUCUGUCAUGUUAUGACAGACGUAAUGAGUAGAGAACUAAUUUUUGUUAUUCUAAAUGUGUUAUUGUAAUAUUCUAAAUAGGCACACACACACACACGGCUCUCUCAUUUUUUUUGUAUACAUCCCAUAUCUGCUUCCUCUGGUCUCAUCUCCCAUAUUGCUAAUUAAUGUUUUAUUUUCUCUUUAAUAAAACAGUGACACACACACACACCUCUGUUUAAAUAUUUCUCUCCCGCCUGCCUCACUUCCCCUCACUUCAUCUUGUCAUUGCCUGUCAGUAGGGAUCCUUCUCUUGCUGGUACUCAAUGGACGUAAUGAGUACUCAUUUGUGUUAUUCUAAAGAGGAGAUGUUUUACCCAUAAGCUUGUGCUGUUUUUGGGGACGUUUUGUACUUGAUGGGAUGUGUUGCUGUGUUUACCUUGCCCAUCUGGUUUAUUAAAGCUUUGAAGAAAUGUUAAGCUUGCUGGUAGUUCUACCAGGAGGACUCAAAUCACUCGCGGCUGGCCGUCAAUCACCAAUCAGCAGCUACCAAUCACC
ensembl:lncRNA